UAAACCUUGCCAUCCUAUCCUCUCUGUUUGUAGAAGCUGUUGUAUUUUCCACUGUUUGUUGUUUGUUCAGAUUAAUGAAUAAUUUCCUCAAGUCUGCCUUCUAUUUAUAAAGCAUGCUUUCAACAUUUGUCUCCUUAUUCAAUCCAUUUAAUUUUUUUCCAGUGGUACUUUUAUUAGUGAUUAAUGUUUUUUACAAGUCUGUUUAUCCUUUUUCAUACUAUCAUUCUAUUUCAUCUUGGGUUUUUGUUCCUUACCUCUUUAAUAAUUUCAAUAUGCUUAGACUUGUUUCCUUAAAAUAAUUCCCUUUUUAAAGUAAAUGUUUUGUUUUGGGUUUUUUUUUUUUUGUUUGUUUGUUUUUUGGCUUGGUUUGUUUUGUUUUUGAGACGGAGUUUCUUUAUUUAACCCUGGCUGUCUCAGAACUCUCUAGACUGGGCUGGCCUUGAGCUCACCUGCUUCUGCCUCCUGAGUGUUUGGAUUAAAGGCAUGUGCCACCACUGUGCAUACAUAUAAUGGGGGGGGCGCAUGUGUGUGGAGGGCGGAGGACAACUUUGUGGAGUAUUCUUUCACUUUUACAUGGGUGCUGGAGAUCAAAUUCAGAUUGUCAGGCUAUGUAGCCAGUGUCUUUAUCCACUGAGUCCUCUCACUGGCCCCUGAUAGUUUUCUUCCAUCAGGUUCUUGGGAAGUAAUUUUCUUUGUUGCAUUUACUGACUCUAAUCAUGGUGAUUCAAUUUUUCAUGGGUUUUAAAAUUUUUACUAUGAGAUAAUCUUCCUGGAGGUUGUUACCAAUUGAAGGCUGCAUGCAUGUGAAAUGUAUGCCCAUUUUGAGAAUUUCUACAAGCCCAGUUUUUUGUGCCAACUGUUAAUGACCUGUAAAAACAAAGUUGUUAAGUAUGGAGAAUCAGAAGGCCUCCCUUAUAUUGGACAUUAAAACCACCAGGCACACAGCCCUGCCUAAAGUCAGAUUCCUCAUAGGCUGGUCUCUUCUAUAAAAUGUCAGAUAGAAAGACUCUACCUACUAGCAUGGUGAGAGGGCACAAACAUGUUCUUUCUAUAUAGGGGCAUAGAUAAAUUAUUCUAACAAAAAAUCAAAACACCAAAUGUACACCACUUGCAAGGGGCCUGAUAUGAGGCCCAAUUUCCACCUCUUGAUUUGGUCCCCAAGAUAAAAAAAUAAAAAUUAGUAUACAGGAUCAGUCUACACCUGAAAUGUAUGUGUUUACAUACAAGGUGUGAUGACUGGUCUUGGAUGUCAACUUGACUACAUCUGGAAUUAACUAAAACCCAGAUACCUGGGCACACCUAUGAGGGAAUUUUUCUUAAUUAAAUCAUUUGAAAUGGGAAGAUCUACUUCUAUUCCAGAUCUUUGGAGUAGGAAGAUAUACCUUUAAUCCAUAUCUUUUGAAGUAGGAAUAUUCAUUUUUAAUCUGGUUCACACCUUCUAUGGAAGCCUAUAUAAAGGACAUAGAAGAAUAAAGCUUGCUGUCUCUCUCUGACUGUUUUAUUGCUCUCAAUAGCAACUCCAUUCCUUCAGUAACAUUAGAGCUUACUUCUGGAUUCCAGCAUAUGCUGAAGACCACAUGAGGUGGACUGUACAGCUAUUGGAUUCUUGAACCUUUCAUUGGUAGAUAGCCAUUAUUAGACUAGCUGGACUACAGACUGCUGUAAGCCAUUUAAAUGCCAUAUAUAUAUAGAUAUAGAUUUAUAUAUAUGAAUUUAUGAAUCUAUAUGAUAUAGAUUAUAGAAUGAUUCAUUCUAUAAUUUCUGUUCAUCUAGAGAACCCUAAUACACAAAAAGAGUCUGACAUUACCUUGGAGUUGCCAAGCUAUGGUUCUAGGGUUCUGGCUCAUGGAGAAAGCCUGUUUAAUUAUUAGAGUAUGAUGGUUCAUAUAAAUUUACAAGUUGACUGAAUUGAGAAUUGCCUAAUCAGUAAAACAAACCUCUGGGUAUGUCUGUGGUGGUAUGCCACAGAAGGUUAGAAUGUGAAGCUUUGUCCUAAUCAAUGGCGUCAUCCCUUGAAGGAUUCUUAAUAUGAUGGCAUCACUAGAGGUGGAAGAAGGUAGAGGAUCCCACUUGGGGAAGUGAGUUACUGGGGCAUGCCUUUGGAGGAUACAUUUUAUUCUGGUCCCUUCCUAUGAUCUUUUCUGAUUCCUAGAUAUGUUAACUGCUUUUCUCUAUCAUGCUCCCUCCAUCAUGGUGGACUGACCCCUCUGAAAGAAGGAGCUCAAAUAAACCUUUCUUCCUUCAAGUUGUUCUUGCAGGUCCAGUACACAGGGACAAUGGAGGUAGUGUACAAGUACAUGAGCUAUGGGAAGAAAGAAAGGCAGGUCUAAAAGUGCUGUGUCCUUGAGGCCUAAGUUUUUGGUUUUUCUCCAACAACUCCUCCCCAUUUUUCGCUUAGUCUAAAUUUAAUUGGGUGCAUAUAUAUAUAUAUAUACAUAUAUAUAUAUAUACAUAUUGAUACAGGGUCUCAGUAUGUAACCCUGGCUGGCCUGAAACUCUCUAUGCAGACCAGGCUGGCCCCAAACAAGGAUCCACUUGUUUAUGCUUCCCAAGUACUGAGAUUAAAGAUGUACACCAAUGUCCAAGGAUUCCACUUAAAACUGAAAGAGACCUCACUAAUGAGAAGUUAGAAGUAUCUGCCAAACACUGCAUCAAAAAAGGGAACAGGAUCCCUGAUGACUGCAACAUCUGGGUGGACAUGAGGUUCCAGUCCUAAUAGCAGCUGGAGCUUCUGAAGGCCACAGUAACCAUCCAGUUCCUUUCAUGGAAAACAUCAAAUUGGGACUAUGGAAGAAAAGCUGCUGGCUGACCAGCUGCUUACACUUGGAAAAUAACAGCACAAGGCUCCUGGUACCAAAUUUACUAAGAGUUUCAAGACUGUUAUACCAAAACAUUAACUGAAGCAUGGAGCAUGUCAGGACAUUAUAGGCAUAAGGUUAUUGGUAAUUCAAAUGCUGACUUCUGUAUCUGUUUAUAAGCCUUGUUCUGAGAAUCUCAGUCGCAAUGUUUGUAUAAACUCUGUUCCCCAAUGGUCCUCUGAAAUGUCAAUAAAGCAGCUUACAGCCAAUCGCUGAGCAGGGAAGAGAAUAGGGCUGGACUUCCUGUCAGCCAGGGGAGUUAGAGGAGAGGAAGCAGGGAAUUCAGCCAAGGGAUUCAGCCAUGGGCAGAGGUCCAAGAGACACCAGGAGCGAGAGCUCAUGGGCAAAGCUACAAAGUGCAAGUACCCUGGGAGGAAGCCAAAUUAGCUUAAAGGGUUAAGAGUAGAGUAAUAUCAGUUCAGGCAUUUGCAGAGAUGACAAGAAGGCCUCUGAUGGCCAUGGAGCUGUUGUGAACUGCUCUUACAAGUUUGGGAACAGAAUCCAAGUCCUCUGGAAAAACAUAUCCUUCCAGACCCAGAUGUUUCCUAUAUCCACAACAGCACCAAAGCAGCUACCACAAGUGUUCCAGUCUGAACUCACAGACUUCCAUCAAGCUGGACCUGCACUUUCCCUCCCAGCCAUGGAUGUUCUCACAGACCCCAGACAACAUCAGAACAGCCUGUUCUUCCUGGACUUGGCCAGCAUUUCAGCCUUUUGACACUCCCUACACUGCCCCCAGCAGGAAGUAGCCAGAAGAGAAUCUAUGCCCAUUAUUCACUUAUUAACAAAAGGAUGGAAUGGUGUGCUUCAGGACCAGAACAGGCAGCUCCAGGUUCUCCAGCAUUCCUCAUUCUCUACCUGCUGCUGUGUGUGGCUGGCAGCUCUCUACUGGCAACCCUCUACCCUGAACUCUCCAGGGAAGGUGCUUCCCCUCCUUCUCUUGAUCAUGUAAUCUGGACAUUUUGUUGCUAUUUUUUCUCUCCUUUACCCCCUUGCAUGGCAACCAAGAGCUGUUUCCAAUGAACCUAAAUUUAAAUACUUUAACUUGUCUUAAAUGGAAGCAGUGCAAGCUCUUUAGUUUUUAUAGAAAAAGGGAGGAAUGUUAGUAUCUAGGCAGCCUAGAAACCUAUGAUGUCAUCAUCUGUCACCCACCAGGUAGCCAUACCUGGCAGGUGUGGUUACGUUGCUCCUUAAAAGGUUCAACCCACCACUUUGUCACUCUCUUGUCCUCUUGUCUAUUGCCCUCUUACCCUCUUGCCCUCUUCCUUUUCUCUGUUGGGGCACCCCCUCCCUUUCCUUUAUCAUGUCUCAAUCUCUCCUCUAAUCUCUCUUCACCUCCAUCUAAUAAACCUCUUUCAUAUAAAAUCUGUGCACAUCAUC